rnacentral:lncRNA from 14 species
CAGGAAGAUAGUAAUCGUCACAGGACACAUAGGUGACAUGAAACCUUCAGGCUGUGAAACCCUUAAGCUGUGAAACCCUAUGCUUUCUUCAGAAUAGCUUCUUCAAAACUUGACUCCAGCCUAGAUGGAAAAUACAGUUUUCCUGCUGAAUCCCUCACUGAUGCCAUUUGUCUGUCAUAUUUUUCACUGAAACUUCUGAUUCACUCCUGAACUGUUUGCAAGAUUUCACUCUGGUGCUGUGAUGAAGGUGGUAGUCUCAGCUGGCCAGCCCUUGUAUGUGAGAUUGUUUUGGCAUCUCCUGUGCCCUUUGUGAUUUCCAGCCAGCCACAAUCACCACUUGGAACCUUCUUACCAUCAAUGGAGUAGCC